rnacentral:lncRNA from 1 species
GUAUUCUGCACGGACUGCUGGGCAGCACUAGCACUCUGGAGAAGGUCUGCCGCUGUCUGCACUUUCCUGGUGAGAAUCCCCAAUGACAGUCCCACUUUUCAGUGGAGGAGAACAAAAUAUCUGUCUACUCUCUUGAAGAAGGACACGGCUUUGAUCAUAUUUGUUCAGGCUUGACUUGGCCGGAGGUUUUAGGUUCUUAGUCUCAAGUCAGCAGUCUCUCUCUCUCUCUCUCUCUCUCUCUCUCUCUCUCUCUCUGAAACACACACACACAGAGACGCACACACACACAAGCACACACAUACACAAGCGCAAAUCCUCUCUUUCUCUUUCUCUCAUUUCCCGUCAUAGGUUCUAUGCAGGCAGAUGAGUGUCACAGCUGUAACUGAGGCACAGAGCAGUACACACAGUGGAGCCGAUUUCCGCGAUGGCGAGAGGGGGCACCGGAGGUGACAACAAUAACAAGACUGUCCUUCGGACAAGUUUUAGCGCUGAAUAUCUUCAGGAAAAUGGGUUCCAUGAGAAGUGACAUCCUCCUCGAAUCAAAAGAUUCUCAGGAUGAUGGAGUGAGUGAUGGAAUAGGUUGCCAACUGUAGUUACUCCACUCAGCACAGAAUGGCUGCGGGGAAAUAUAAUCAGACAUGCCCAAAGAAGUCUGCUUAGGGUGAAACAAAUACCUUUGAGGUUUAAAUCAGAAAGGAAGGAGAGACUGUUUCUACAGGUGUCAUACAAAAAUCAAUACUGAGCCAAGGAUUAUUGGAUCCCAUAGAACCACGGAGACUUGGUAGUGAAAUUCUUCCAAAGCAUUCCAUCCGUGCAGGCAGAUGGUGUUCCUAGGUUUGGAAAUAUAAAUCCCAUGGGAAGUCAGCUGAAGACCAUUUUAUGCAUCACUCAUCCUGUUAGAGCCCUGUGCUGUUCUGUCUCUCUAUAAGACUGGCUGAAACCACCACGGUUGUUUACAAUUUAUGCUCUAACUUUGGAUCACCUAGUUAAUACUCUAACUCCGAUUAUUACCAAAGACAAUGUUCUAUAAAAGAUAUUGUCUAUUAGAAGGAUGCUUCUGCAUUAUUAAUAAAAUCACAGGGAAAAUGCAACAUUUUGGAUGUCACAUCUGAUAAGUUGGCAGUUAAAGAACAGAAACAGCAAUAAGACUGCGUGGCUACAUUUUCCCAGUGCCACCAACUGGGAUUUAAGCUGACUAACAUUUUGAAAGCCCAGCCCAUUUCAUUCACAGCAGGAUGGCAGUGGGUGACUGAUCGUACCCGCCAGCUGGCUAAUGUCAUAAUUAACAAAGUUGCUACUACAUCUGCAAAGUUUAAUCGAAAAAUUUGCCAGUGAUAUGAUGGCCUUGUCACAGAGAUCACAAGGGACACGGAGUUGACUUUUGCUCAAGGUGGAACGACAGAGCUGUGUAGGCAAGAUGAGAAAUUGCGAACUUGUUCGGCCAAAGGAGGCUAAUAAUGAAGGGGCCGGGAAGGAGGCCAGUGCUACCAGGGUUAUCUCACAACCUCAGAUGCUGGAUAAGUCGACGGAGGCAGAAUCGCUUUGGGAUGACAUUCAGAAAGCCUGGAGUGAUUACUUGCAAGAGAAAAGCCUACCUAUUCUUUCCAAGGUGCAGGAAUAUUCCCCUGACCUGCUCAUCCAGUGGUCCAGUAAUGAAUUACUGGAGACCUGCCUUAGACAAAGAAUGCACUCGGAGCCCCAACACACCUAAAGCCAUGCUUUGAAGGAUCUGCCAAGCUCACUUUUAAUCAUGAGAAAGAAAUUACCCACACGGAGUCAGCAGAAAAUGAGAAAGUAGAGCUCGUGCUGUGAAUAAUUCCAGCAAGUGCCAAGGGGCUAGUUGAGGAAUGGCUUCAUGAGAACAUGCUCUAGGGGAACUAUUAAUAGCCCACCAGUCGGGUAGGCAGCAUUCAAUCCUUCUAUGCCUUCUUUCGCCACCUGUUGAGGUCUUUCUUCUGAAACAAAGAAGAAAUAGACAAAUCAGACUUGCCCUCUUGGAAAUGUGGUCCAGAUUUCUCUACUCCCAAGCUCCAAAAAAGGUAUACAUUGGAUGGGCUAGAUCAACUCCUCCUGAGAGCCAUAAAUCCGCCAAGAGUUGUUUUCCAUGUAAGGGUGUGGUACAAUGGGGAACACCUGAUGUUGGAGGAAAGCAGGAGGACUUUAGAGUGGAGUUGCAUUCUAAUCUCUCUGCCGCUUCAACUAUGUGACCUGGGGCAAAUGAUAUAAACUCUAUGAGCCUCUUUCCUUAUCUUUAAAAUGAAGAGAAGUAAUACCUACCUUGUAGGGCUGUUGUGAGGAUUAAAUGAAGUAAUGCAUACAGUGCCUAACAAAGUAUUUAACAUCAUAUUUUUUAAAAGCUCAUGAAAUAUUAGUUUUUCUUCCUUCCCCUCUUUCUAUUUUCUCUCCUGUUCCCUUUUCUCUCCCUCCUCUGCCCUCUCCUUCCUUCAGAUGUUAGUCUAAAACAGCACCUUGGAUCUAAGCAGCACCUUUGAGAAAGAAAAGACUGCUUCAAGAAUGUCUAGUUGCACCUCCUUUCCGUAUGUGGCCUAAAUGCCUAGGUUGGAUCAAUAGUUUAAUUUUUUUAUUGAACUGUUUAAUAUUGACUAUGGACUUACAUUCACUUUUACUGUUUUCUGUAUAUUUACUUUUGCUUGAAGUGUUUUAAUAUUGACUAUUUACCUCUGCUCAUUUUUAUUGAUUUUCUGUAUUUUUUCAAUGAAAAUUAUAAUAAAAAUUAUUUUUGUUA